rnacentral:rRNA from 1 species
CCUACGGUGGUCUGCAGUGGGGCAUAUUUCACAAUGGGGGAAACCCUGAUGCAGCGACGCCGCGUGAGUGAAGAAGUCUUUCGGUAUGUAAAGCUCUAUCAGCAGGGAAGAAAAUGACGGUACCUGACUAAGAAGCACCGGCUAACUACGUGCCAGCAGCCGCGGUAAUACGUAGGGGGCAAGCGUUAUCCGGAUUUACUGGGUGGAAAGUGCGCGUAGACGGCAGAGCAAGUCUGAAGUGAAAUCCCGCGGCCCAACUGCGGGACUGCUUUGGAAACUGCCCGGCUAGAGUGCUGGAGAGGUAAGCGGAAUUCCUAGUGUAGCGGUGAAAUGCGUAGAUAUUAGGAGGAACACCAGUGGCGAAGGCGGCUUACUGGACAGUAACUGACGUUGAGGCUCGAAAGCGUGGGGAGCAAACAGGAUUAGAUACCCGUGUAGUC